ensembl:snRNA U6 U6 spliceosomal RNA
GUGCUUGCUUCGGCAGCACAUACACUAAACUUGGAACGAUACACAGAAGAUUAGAUUAGCAUGGCCCCUGCACAAGGAUGACACGCAAAUUAGCGAAGCGUUCCACACACAC